rnacentral:RNase_P_RNA from 1 species
GCCGGUUGGAUGACCGCUGGCCGCUUUGGCGGCGAGAGGAAAGUCCGGGCUUCAAGAAAACAUGGUGCCGGGUAACCCCCGGGCGGCGCAAGCCGAUGGAAAGUGCAGCAGAGAGCAGACCGCCUGCCUUCGGGCCGGCAAGGGUGAAAGGGUGCGGUAAGAGCGCACCGCGGAGCUGGCAACAGUCUCCGGCAUGGUAAACCCCGCCAGAAGCAAGACCAAAUAGGGACUACGUAUGCGGCGUUUUCUCCGUGUAGUCCGGGUAGGUCGCACGAGGCCUUGAGCAAUCAAGGCCCUAGAUGAAUGGUCAUCACCCCUUACGGGGUACAGAACCCGGCUUAUAGACCGGCCUG